rnacentral:rRNA from 1 species
AACGCUGGCGGCGUGCUUAACACAUGCAAGUCGAACGGUAAGGCCCUUCGGGGUACACGAGUGGCGAACGGGUGAGUAACACGUGGGUGAUCUGCCCUGCACUUUGGGAUAAGCCUGGGAAACUGGGUCUAAUACCGAAUAUGACCAUGGACUUCACGGUUUGUGGUGGAAAGCUUUUGCGGUGUGGGAUGGGCCCGCGGCCUAUCAGCUUGUUGGUGGGGUAAUGGCCUACCAAGGCGACGACGGGUAGCCGGCCUGAGAGGGUGACCGGCCACACUGGGACUGAGAUACGGCCCAGACUCCUACGGGAGGCAGCAGUGGGGAAUAUUGCACAAUGGGCGCAAGCCUGAUGCAGCGACGCCGCGUGGGGGAUGAUGGCCUUCGGGUUGUAAACCUCUUUCACCAGGGACGAAGCGAGAGUGACGGUACCUGGAGAAGAAGGACCGGCCAACUACGUG